rnacentral:rRNA from 1 species
AGCGCGGCCUUCGGGCUGGCGGCGAGCGGCGAACGGGUGAGUAAUGCAUCGGAACAUGCCCAGUCGUGGGGGAUAACACUUCGAAAGAAGUGCUAAUACCGCAUACGUCCUGAGGGGGAAAGCGGGGGAUCGCAAGACCUCGCGCGAUUGGAGUGGCCGAUGUCAGAUUAGCUAGUUGGUGGGGUAAAGGCCUACCAAGGCGACGAUCUGUAGCUGGUCUGAGAGGAUGAUCAGCCACACUGGGACUGAGACACGGCCCAGACUCCUACGGGAGGCAGCAGUGGGGAAUUUUGGACAAUGGGGGCAACCCUGAUCCAGCCAUUCCGCGUGAGUGAAGAAGGCCUUCGGGUUGUAAAGCUCUUUCGGCAGGGACGAAACGGUGGGCUCUAACAUAGUCCGCUAAUGACGGUACCUGAAGAAGAAGCACCGGCUAACUACGUGCCAGCAGCCGCGGUAAUACGUAGGGUGCGAGCGUUAAUCGGAAUUACUGGGCGUAAAGCGUGCGCAGGCGGUUGUGUAAGACAGGUGUGAAAUCCCCGGGCUUAACCUGGGAACUGCGCUUGUGACUGCACGGCUAGAGUAUGGCAGAGGGGGGUGGAAUUCCACGUGUAGCAGUGAAAUGCGUAGAGAUGUGGAGGAACACCGAUGGCGAAGGCAGCCCCCUGGGCCAAUACUGACGCUCAUGCACGAAAGCGUGGGG